ACUCCUACGGGAGGCAGCAGUGGGAAUAUUGGACAAUGGGCGAAAGCCUGAUCCAGCAAUGCCGCGUGUGUGAAGAAGGCCUUAGGGUUGUAAAGCACUUUCAGCAGGGAAGAAAAGCUUGGGCGUAAUACCCGCCGUCCUCGGUACCUGCAGAAGAAGCACCGGCUAACUCCGUGCCAGCAGCCGCGGUAAUACGGAGGGUGCAAGCGUUAAUCGGAAUUACUGGGCGUAAAGCGCGCGUAGGUGGUUCGGUAAGUCGGGUGUGAAAG
rnacentral:rRNA from 1 species